rnacentral:lncRNA from 1 species
AUUCUAUAUAUAUAUAUAUAUAUAUAUAUAUAUAUAUAUAUAUCGAUAUAAAUGUUUGAUUUUAUAUUUAAAUUUGUAUUUGAAAACUUUAGAUUUAAUGCAAUAUAUUUUAAAAUAUGGUGAAGAAAAAUAAUUAUUUCGAAUUUGGAUUUGUGGGUUCGAGUUCAGAUUUCGGAGUUUUGGUUAUGUUCGAGUUCGGAUUCGAAUUUCGAAUUUGAUAGUCGGAUUUAGAUUCUUAAAAAUCCAUCCUGAAUC